rnacentral:rRNA from 1 species
UACGUAGGUGGCAAGCGUUGUCCGGAAUUAUUGGGCGUAAAGCGCGCGCAGGCGGUCCUUUAAGUCUGAUGUGAAAGCCCACGGCUCAACCGUGGAGGGUCAUUGGAAACUGGGGGACUUGAGUGCAGGAGAGAAGAGUGGAAUUCCACGUGUAGCGGUGAAAUGCGUAGAGAUGUGGAGGAACACCAGUGGCGAAGGCGGCAUCCUGGCCCUAUCCUGACGCUGAGGCGCGAGAGCGUGGGGAGCAAACCGG